rnacentral:rRNA from 1 species
UACGUAGGUGACCAGCGUUGUCCGGAUUUACUGGGCGUAAAGAGCGCGCAGGCGGUCGUUCAAGUCGAGUGUGAAAUCCCUCGGCUCAACCGAGGAAGGGCAUCCGAAACUGCCGGGCUUGAGUACGGAAGAGGGUCUCGGAAUUCCCAGUGUAGCGGUGAAAUGCGUAGAUAUUGGGAGGAACACCAGUGGCGAAGGCGGCUCACUGGACCGGUACUGACGCUGAUGCGCGAAAGCGUGGGGAGCAAACGGG